rnacentral:rRNA from 1 species
AUGUGCCCGGAAUCUGGAGACAAACCCCCCUCGGGAUCCGUUCGCCUGCGCCUGCAGCGUAUCAGAUCCGCCUCGGGAUUAGCGGCGGCAGACGCGCCAGGGGCGCCAGCAGCACGCACGCCCGCCUCGGACCAGGCGCGCCCCACGCGGCCACCGCUCACGGGAUGCGGCGCGUCGUCACCUCCGCACCAAUCGUCAUCCGCCACUUGUGAGCCUGCGGUUGGCGCGGGCGGUGCACGCUUCACCGGCCAACCAGUGUGCUACAAGCGGCGCCACCCGGUCCGCCCGACCGGUGCGGGGCCCGAAGCUGGCGCGGGAUCCAGCGCCGAUCCGCGCAUGCGUCCGACCGGCGUCAGACCCGAGGCCGAUUCGCCAUCAUGUGGCAAUGAUGAACCUGCUGCUGCGGCGGGAUCUUCUGCGGAUUCUGCACACGGGAAGCCGCUGCCACUUGCCACAGAAAAUCCAAGCAGGGCAGAAUCUGUUGCUGCUGCGCGCGGAUCAUCCUCGGGAUCGGCUCCUAGAGAAACUCCUGUUCAAGCUGCGGGAUCAUCUGUGGCUGAAAAUCUGGGCACUUCUCCUCGGCGUACACGACUACAAAAGGGAGUAAUACAACCUGUUAAUUACAAACGUGUAACAAAAUAUGGCAUGGUUUGUUCUACAGGUGAACCAGGUGAACCUCAUACUCUAGAAGAAGCACUUGGUGAUGAAAAAUGGAAGAAAGCGAUGAAUGAAGAGUACAUAGCUCUAAAGAAAAAUAAGACAUGGCACUUAGUUCCUCCACAACAAGGUAAAAAUUUAAUUAAUUGCAAGUGGGUAUUCAGGAUCAAGAGAAAGUCUGAUGGAACUAUUGACCGUUACAAAGCUAGGCUUGUUGCAAAAGGAUUUAAACAACGGUAUGGUAUUGACUAUGAGGAUACCUUUAGUCCAGUUGUUAAAGCUGCAACCAUCCGUCUUGUUUUGUCUAUUGCUGUUUCUAGGGGCUGGAGUCUCAGACAGUUAGACGUUCAGAACGCGUUUCUUCACGGUGUUCUAGAAGAGGAAGUGUACAUGAAGCAACCUCCUGAGUUUGAAAGCAAAAAUUCCCCCUCUUAUGUAUGCAAACUUGACAAGGCACUUUAUGGAUUGAAGCAAGCACCGAGAGCUUGGUACUCUCGUCUCUGUCAUAAAAUGCAAGCACUUGGCUUUAUUCCAUCCAAAUCUGACACUUCUUUAUUCAUUUACAACAAGUCCAACACAUGCAUAUUUGUUUUGAUAUAUGUUCAUGAUAUCAUUGUGACAAGCUCAUCAAAUGAAGCAAUCACAGGACUGUUGAAAGAUUUGAGUGCAGAUUUUGCUCUAAAGGACCUUGGUGACUUGCACUAUUUUCUUGGAAUUGAGGUGAAGAAACAUGCAAGUGGGCUUCAUCUCUCUCAGGAAAAGUAUGCGGCUGAUUUGGUAAAAAAGGCUGGUCUGCAAGGUUGUAAGCCAACACCUACUCCAUUAUCUAGCUCAGAAAAGUUGUCUCUCACAGAAGGUAAUCUCUUGAGUCCAGAAGAUAGCACAAAAUACAGGAGCUUGGUAGGAGCACUUCAGUAUCUCACUUUGACCAGACCUGAUAUAUCUUUUGCUGUUAACAAAGUGUGCCAGUUUCUUCAUGCACCUACUAAUGUCCAUUUUACUGCUGCAAAACGCAUAGUGAGAUAUGUCAAAGGAACUAUGAACAUUGGUCUAGAUUUCAGCAAGUCAUCUUCAAAUCUUGUUAGUGCCUUUUCUGACUCAGAUUGGGCAGGACGCCUGGAUGACAGACACUCCACUGGAGGUUUUGCAAUCUUUUUUGGACCGAAUCUAAUCUCAUGGUGUACUCGAAAACAGGCCACUGUUUCUAGAUCCAGCACAGAGGCAGAGUAUAAAGCACUGGCAAAUGCUACAGCUGAGAUUAUAUGGGUUCGGUCCAUGCUGAAAGAACUGGACAUAAAGAACACACCAGCUCCAUGUUUGUGGUGUGAUAACCUCGGUGCAACUUAUUUGUCUGCCAAUCCAGUUUUUCAUGCAAGGACAAAACCUAUUGAAAUAGAUUUUCACUUUGUUCGUGAGAGGGUUGCUCAAAAGCAACUUGAUAUUCGCUUUAUCCACUCCAAAGAUCAGCUUGCAGAUGGAUUUACAAAGGCUUUGCCUGUGAGAAGCUUUGAAAAUUUUAAACAUAAUCUCAACUUGAUGAAGUUGUGA